UAAUAAGUGUUUUAUGGCACUUUUUAAAUCCAUAUCACCUUGUGUGCAAUGUCAGUCGAUCUUCUUCAUGGAGAUCGACCAAACAUCAACCUUUAUCUUUUAACUCUUUGUCUGAAAAAUAUUAUGAGUAAACAAUUCAAAAUA
rnacentral:misc_RNA from 1 species